rnacentral:rRNA from 1 species
GCCUGAUGCAGCAAUGCCGCGUGUGUGAUGAAGGCCUGAGGGUUGUAAAGCACUUUCACUGGGGAAGAUGAUGACGGUACCUAUAGAAGAAGCACCGGCUAACUCCGUGCCAGCAGCCGCGGUAAUACGGAGGGGGCAAGCGUUAAUCGGAAUUACUGGGCGUAAAGGGCGCGUAGGCGGCUUGUUUAGUCGGAUGUGAAAGCCCCGGGCUCAACCUGGGAACUGCAUUCGAUACUGCUGAGCUAGAGUAUGGAAGAGGGAAGUGGAAUUCCGGGUGUAGAGGUGAAAUGCGUAGAUAUCCGGAGGAACACCAGUGGCGAAGGCGACUUCCUGGUCCAAUACUGACGCUGAUGUGCGAAAGCGUGGGGAGCAAACAGGAUUAGAUACCCUGGUAGUCCACGCCCUAAACGAUGUCUGCUAGCCGUUGGGUUCAUUUACCGACUUAGUGGCGCAGCUAACGCGAUAAGAUGACCGCCUGGGGAGUACGGCCGCAAGAUUA